AGAUUCUAUCACUACUUGGAUUCAAUAGGACUUCAUAUUUCCUUGUCUGCACUUCCGUCCCUAACAGAGUAGAGUUAUUUUAAUUAACUUUAAAAUAUUUCAAUUGAUAGUUAGAAUAUUAAUUACAGCGUAUUUAACCGCGUGACCGAUUUUAUUUCAUUUCCAUGACAAGUUGCUGAAUUCUCAUUGGUUAAAAGAAUUUCGUUUUGCUUGAUAUAUGGCACAAUAAAAUUUGAAAACACCUUUUUUAAUCCAGUUUUUGGUGUUUCAAGCAAUAUGUAAGCACGGGAAGCAAUGUAUGAUGGUUGGUUGAAACACCGAAAAUGUACUCACGAGGCUAUAGAUACUAGAUGUAUUUUCAGCUAUUUCAAUUAAGGUUGUCCCCGAGAAAAGUGGAAAAGUCGAAUACGAGCGCGAAAUGCUUGCUGGGAAUCAUUUUUUUCCCAGCAAGCCUUUCGCGCUCUUAUUCGAUUUUUCCGCUUUGCUCAGGGAUAACCUUGACCGAAAUAGCUGUAUACUGGCUUAUACCUUUACCCGUUUGUAAUUAUAUACCUAGGUUAAUAUAUGUAUAGCUAGGUGGUAUCACUAGAUUUUAGUAGUUGUAUUAAAACAAUAAAAUUUCUUAUAUAACUAAG